CCUGGGAGACCCUCUCAUACCUUCGUCAGUAUUUCAAUACUGUGAAGGUGACUGAGAUCACAUGGCAGCCUUGGGCAUCGAUGCCAGGGUUUGCUCGAUUUCAUUUUGCCGAGGCUUGGGGUGCCUCCCGGUAUCGGAUUCUGUUCGAGGGACCUGUAGGUCGAGCCUAGUUUCUUGGCGAGCGCUUCAUGCACCAGACACUGGGCCUCCCCCUCUAGUCAGUCCCCUUAUUGCCUCCGCCUUCUAUGCGCACCACAGAGAGUCUCUCCUCUCAAGAGACCACCGACCUUAUGUGCAGUGCAAAUGCAAACAUCUUCAUUGAGGAGGGGGACUAUACGACAUAUCUCCAGACAUAUAUCAUGCCCCCGCUGACAGCGCUCAUGCUCUCGUGAGAAGGGCGGUUGACAUUCCUUCGUCGAACAGUGCCCGAGCAGCAAAUGCCCCUUUGACGAGAAGAACCCGGGCACCAAGGAGCGGAGCUAGAGGGAUGCCUUCCACCAGGCAUAGUGUUGGGUGACCAGACAUUCUGACCGAGUUGACAGGUUGGCGGUACUCCAGAGUGCCUUAUCAGAUCCCACUUGAGCCCCCGUUGCCUGAUCACCGAUAUGUCAGGACACCUGACUCCCCACCGCCAUCCAUAGAGUAUGUCGAGGGGUUACUUGAGCUGAUGGCCUCAUUCGAGGGCAUGAUCUUGAGGAGAGAGACGAUGCUUAGCUCCCACGGUAUUCAGGUCACACCUCUAUAGCCAGGACCAUCAGAGCCUUCUCCGGCAGUAGAGAGAGAGAUUCUGGCACACAGCCGAGGGAGGCGUCGGGAGCCUGUCAUACACGAUGACGAGGACGAGGACGAAACCAGUGAGGAUGAGCAGCCAGCGAGUCGCCAGUCAGAGUUAUUUGAGGACGGAGGUGACGGCACCGGCUUGGGUUUUAAGGGUGGUGACAAUGCUGAGGAGGGCUCUGAGGAUGGGAGCGGAGACGGCUCUGGUUCAGGCUCCGGCUUAGAUUCAGAUAGUGGCAUUGAUGGCGAUAGCUCAGAGUCUGCCCAGCUAAGGAAGAGGACGAAGAGGGCCUCUCAAUCUUGAGAUGGAUGGCACUGAUUUAGAUGUUCUUUUACUUAGUUUUCUUUUUUUUUUGCUAGUAGUAUUAGCACAUUGUACAGCCUUAGGCAGUUUUAUUUUCUUUAAAACUUGUACUCUU